rnacentral:rRNA from 1 species
AACGCGAAGAACCUUACCUGGGUUUGACAUGCACAGGAUUCCGGCAGAGAUGUCGGUUCCCUUGUGGCCUGUGUGCAGGCGGUGCAUGGUUGUCGUCAGCUCGUGUCGUGAGAUGUUGGGUUAAGUCCCGCAACGAGCGCAACCCUUGUCUUUAGUUGCCAGCAGCUUGGCUGGGCACUCUAGAGAGACUGCCGAGGAUAACUCGGAGGAAGGUGGGGAUGACGUCAAAUCAUCAUGCCCCUUAUGCUUAGGGCUACACACGUGCUACAAUGGCUGUUACAAAGGGUUGCCAAGCCGCGAGGUGGAGCUAAUCCCAUAAAGACAGUCUAAGUUCGGAUUGCAGGCUGAAACUCGCCUGCAUGAAGCUGGAGUUACUAGUAAUCGCAGAUCAGAAUGCUGCGGUGAAUGCGUUCCCGGGUCUUGUACACACCG